rnacentral:rRNA from 1 species
UAAAAAAAUCUUAUUUUUAUUAAAAGAAUUUUUAAUAUUUUUAUAAAAAAUUAAUAAGUUUUGUUUUAAAGUAUUAUUAAGAAAUUGAUGAUUUGAGGUUAUAGUUUAUUAGUACUGAAAAGGAAAGUAUUAUUUUUAAUAAAGCAAAGUUUGAUUUUUGUACCUUUUGUAUCAGGGUUUAACAAAAUUAUCUGUAAAAUUAUAGAAAUCUCGAAAUAAAAAGAGCUAGAAAGUUUAAUGUUUCUUCGUAGUAAAGAAGUUAGUAAUUUUUUUCUAGUAAUGAUAUGUUAGUCGUUUUUUAUAUAUCUAGUUUUUUGUGAAAAAAAUUUAAUUUUGCUUUUUUUUAAAAUUGAAUUAAAAAUAAAGAAUAGGAGGUAAGAGCUUCUUAUUCCAGUUUUACUAGAAUAAUUUUAUUAUUGUGUUAGGUAGGCUUAAAAUCAGUCAUCUUGUUAUAACGUUCAAGUAAAUCUACUGUAAAAGUUAAUUUAUAUACUUCUGUUAAUUUUAACUAAAAAUAUUAGUUAACGAAUUCUUGUUAAUUAAAAUGUUUAUAUAAGUACAAUUAUAGUUUAAAAAUUAAAUAAAAUUUAAUUUGAUUUUUAAUUGAUUUUAGGUGAUAAAAAGGAACUCGGCAAAUAUGAUCUUUACCUGUUUAUCAAAAACAUGGCUGUGUGGUUAAUUAGUAUAGAGUCUAGCCUGCCCACUGAGUAUUUAAAGGGCUGCGGUAAUUUGACCGUGCAAAGGUAGCAUAAUCAGUAGUCUUUUAAUUGAAGGCUUGAAUGAACGGCUGGAUAAGGGAAAAGCUGUCUUUUUUUCAAAUUAGAAUUUGACUUUUAAGUGAAAAGGCUUAAAUUAUUUAAAGGGACGAUAAGACCCUAUAAAACUUAAUAAAAGGUUUAUUUUAACUUUGAAUUAUAUUAAAAAGUUGUGAAAUUCUCUUUUUAUUUUGUUGGGGCGACAUUGAUAUAAGUUGUAACUGUCUUAAUAAUAAUAUAAUUAUCAUUAUAAAUUGAUCCUUUUUUAGGGAUAGAAAGUAUAAGUUACUUUAGGGAUAACAGCGUGAUUUUUUCUGAGAGUUCUUAUCGAAGAAAAUAGUUGCGACCUCGAUGUUGAAUUAAAAUUUCAUGCAGGUGUAGCCGCUUGCUGUGUAGGUCUGUUCGACCUUUAAAAUUUUACAUGAUUUGAGUUCAAACCGGUGUGAGCCAGGUUGGUUUCUAUCUUUUAUUAAUUUAAUUUAAGUUUUAGUACGAAAGGAUUAAACUUUUGAGAAUUUCUUUUAUAAAGAUAAAGUGUAAU